rnacentral:misc_RNA from 1 species
UCGUAAAACGGAGGUGCCGGGGCUGUCGCCGACUUUGUGCACGCCCCGGUGCUCUCUCACAAUCCAUCUCACCCCCUUUGUGCAUCACCGCGUGGGUGCUCUCCUUUUGGUCCGUUCCAAAAGGGGGCAUUUGCGUUUUUACAUAGACACCCUUUGAAUGCAUGUGUAGAACGUCUUACUUUUUGCGAUCACACGCAAUCAAUA